rnacentral:rRNA from 1 species
GACGAACGCUGGCGGCGUGCUUAACACAUGCAAGUCGAGCGGUAAGGCCCUUUCGGGGGUACACGAGCGGCGAACGGGUGAGUAACACGUGGGUGACCUGCCCUUAGCUCUGGGAUAAGCCUGGGAAACUGGGUCUAAUACCGGAUAUGACUCCAUGACGCACGUUGUGGGGUGGAAAGCCUUGUGCGGCUAGGGAUGGGCCCGCGGCCUAUCAGCUUGUUGGUGGGGUGAUGGCCUACCAAGGCGACGACGGUAGCCGGCCUGAGAGGGCGACCGGCCACACUGGGACUGAGACACGGCCCAGACUCCUACGGGAGGCAGCAGUGGGGAAUCUUGCGCAAUGGGCGAAAGCCUGACGCAGCGACGCCGCGUGGGGAUGACGGCCUCGGUU